rnacentral:rRNA from 1 species
GCUCCCUUCGGGGAGUGCGUAAAGUGGCGCACGGGUGAGUAACACGUAAGUAAUCUGCCCUCGGGUGGGGAAUAACAUCGGGAAACCGAUGCUAAUACCGCAUAAUGCAGCGGCACCGCAAGGUGACAGUUGUUAAAGGAGCAAUCCGCCUGGGGAGGAGCUUGCGGCAGAUUAGCUUGUUGGUAAGGUAACGGCUUACCAAGGCUACGAUCUGUAUCCGGUCUAAGAGGACGGUCGGACACACUGACACUGAAUAACGGGUCAGACUCCUACGGGAGGCAGCAGUCGGGAAUUUUGGGCAAUGGGGGAAACCCUGACCCAGCAACGCCGCGUGAAGGAUGAAGUAUUUCGGUAUGUAAACUUCGAAAGAAUGGGAAGAAUUAAUGACGGUACCAUUUAUAAGCUCCGGCUAACUACGUGCCAGCAGCCGCGGUAAUACGUAGGGAGCAAGCGUUGUUCGGAUUUACUGGGCGUAAAGGGCGCGUAGGCGGCGCAGUAAGUCACUUGUGAAAUCUCUGAGCUUAACUCAGAACUGCCAAGUGAUACUGCAGUGCUAGAGUACAGAAGGGGCAAUCGGAAUUCUUGGUGUAGCGGUGAAAUGCGUAGAUAUCAAGAGGAACACCUGAGGUGAAGACGGGUUGCUAGGCUGACACUGACGCUGAGGCGCGAAAGCCAGGGGAGCAAACGGGAUUAGAUACCCCGGUAGUCCUGGCCCUAAACGAUGAAUACUUGGUGUCUGGAGUUUUAAUGCUCCGGGUGCCGUCGCUAACGUUUUUAGUAUUCCGCCUGGGGAGUACGCUCGCAAGAGUG